GAUGAACGCUAGCUGCAGGCUUAACACAUGCAAGUCGCGGGGCAGCAUGGGGGUUGCUUGCAACCCCUGAUGGCGACCGGCGCACGGGUGAGUAACGCGUAUCCAACCUGCCCUUCACCACGGGAUAACCCGGCGAAAGUCGGACUAAUACCGUAUGUUGUCCAUUGACGGCAUCCGAUUUGGACGAAGGGCUUGGCGGUGAAAGGAUGGGGAUGCGUCCGAUUAGCUUGACGGGGGGGUAACGGCCCACCGUGGCUACGAUCGGUAGGGGUUCUGAGAGGAAGGUCCCCCACACUGGAACUGAGACACGGUCCAGACUCCUACGGGAGGCAGCAGUGAGGAAUAGUGGUCAAUGGGCGUAAGCCUGAACCAGCCAAGUAGCGUGCAGGAGGACGGCCCUAUGGGUUGUAAACUGCUUUUAUGCGGGGAUAAAGUGGCCCACGGGUGGGCUUUUGCAGGUACCGCAUGAAUAAGGACCGGCUAAUUCCGUG
rnacentral:rRNA from 1 species